GAUGAACGCUGGCGGCGUGCCUAAUACAUGCAAGUCGAGCGAACAGACGAGGAGCUUGCUCCUCUGACGUUAGCGGCGGACGGGUGAGUAACACGUGGAUAACCUACCUAUAAGACUGGGAUAACUUCGGGAAACCGGAGCUAAUAGCGGAUAAUAUAUUGAACCGCAUGGUUGAAUAGUGAAAGACGGUUUUGCUGUCACUUAUAGAUGGAUCCGCGCCGCAUUAGCUAGUUGGUAAGUUAACGGCUUAUCAAGGCUACGAUGCGUAGCCGACCUGAGAGGGUGAUCGGCCACACUGGAACUGAGACGCGGUCCAGACUCCUACGAGACGCAGCAGUAGGGUAUCUUCCGCAAUGGGCGAAAGCCUGACGGAGCAACGCCGCGUGAGUGAUGAAGGUCUUCGGAUCGUAAAACUCUGUUAUUAGGGAAGAACAACUGUGUAAGUAGCUAUGCACGUCUUGACGGUACCUAAUCAGAAAGCCACGGCUAACUACGUG
rnacentral:rRNA from 1 species